rnacentral:rRNA from 1 species
CCUACGGGUGGCAGCAGUGAGGAAUAUUGGUCAAUGGGCGGAAGCCUGAACCAGCCAAGUCGCGUGAGGGAUUAAGGCCCUGCGGGUCGUAAACCUCUUUUGCCGGGGAGCAGAGGUCCGGACGUGUCCGGGCCGGGAGAGUACCCGGAGAAAAAGCAUCGGCUACCCCCGUGCCAGCAGCCGCGGUAAUACGGGGGAUGCGAGCGUUAUCCGGAUUUAUUGGGUUUAAAGGGUGCGUAGGCGGGCAUUUAAGCCGGCGGUCAAAUGUCGGGGCUCAACCCCGGCCUGCCGUCGGAACUGGGUGCCUUGAGUGGGCGGGAGGUAUGCGGAAUGCGUGGUGUAGCGGUGAAAUGCAUAGAUAUCGCGCAGAACCCCGAUUGCGAAGGCAGCAUACCGGCGCCCUACUGACGCUGAGGCACGAAAGUGCGGGUAUCGAACAGGAUUAGAUACCCUGGUAGUC